GUCAUAUGCUGUYUCAAAGAUAAGCCAUGCAUGUCUCAGUACAAGCCGAAUUAAGUGAAACCGCGAAAGGCUCAUUAAAUCAGUUAUGGUUCCUUAGAUCGUACCCACAAUUACUUGGAUAACUGUGGUAAUUCUAGAGCUAAUACAUGCGAACAGAGCUCCGACCGGAGACGGAAGGAGUGCUUUUAUUAGAUCAAAACCAAUCGGUGGCGGGUUCGCGCUCGUCAUCGUCCAACUUGGUGACUCUGAAUAACUUUAAGCUGAUCGCACGGUCAUCGCACCGGCGACGCAUCUUUCAAAUGUCUGCCUUAUCAACUGUCGAUGGUAGGUUCUGCGCCUACCAUGGUUGUAACGGGUAACGGGGAAUCAGGGUUCGAUUCCGGAGAGGGAGCCUGAGAAACGGCUACCACAUCCAAGGAAGGCAGCAGGCGCGCAAAUUACCCACUCCCGGCACGGGGAGGUAGUGACGAAAAAUAACGAUACGGGACUCAUCCGAGGCCCCGUAAUCGGAAUGAGUACACUCUAAACCCUUUAACGAGGAUCAAUUGGAGGGCAAGUCUGGUGCCAGCAGCCGCGGUAAUUCCAGCUCCAAUAGCGUAUAUUAAAGUUGUUGCGGUUAAAAAGCUCGUAGUCGAAUUUGUGUCCCGCGCCGCCGGUUCAUCGUCCGCGGUGUUAACUGGCGAGUCGCGAGACGUCCUGCCGGUGGGCUUAGCUCGCGAGGGCGGCCCAACUCAAUCCUGCCGCGGUGCUCUUCAUUGAGUGUCGAGGUGGGCCGGCACGUUUACUUUGAACAAAUUAUAGUGCUUAAAGCAGGCUAAACUUCGCCUGAAUACUGUGUGCAUGGAAUAAUGGAAUAGGACCUCGGUUCUAUUUUGUUGGUUUUCGGAACCCCGAGGUAAUGAUUAAUAGGAACGGAUGGGGGCAUUCGUAUUGCGACGUUAGAGGUGAAAUUCUUGGAUCGUCGC
rnacentral:rRNA from 1 species